rnacentral:rRNA from 1 species
UACAGAGGUCCCAAGCGUUGUUCGGAUUCAUUGGGCGUAAAGCGCGCGUAGGCGGCUCGGAAAGUCGGUCGUGAAAUGCCGGGGCUCAACCCCGGGACUGCGUCCGAUACUCUCGAGCUGGAGGCAGGUAGGGGAGAUCGGAAUUCCUGGUGUAGCGGUGAAAUGCGCAGAUAUCAGGAGGAACACCGGUGGCGAAGGCGGAUCUCUGGGCCUUGCCUGACGCUGAGGCGCGAAAGCUAGGGGAGCGAACAGG